UGGACAUGAGGACAAAAAAGAAUUUCUGGAUUUCUUUCUGAAGACGUUUAAUCCAACUCUGAUCCAAGAGGAGAG
rnacentral:snoRNA from 1 species